CAACGACAACGAUCUGUGCUGCCGUAAAGCUUAGCCACUGCGUAUGAACAUUUCAUGGGCCUACGACUGUAUCUACACGGCUGCUCCUACACUAUAGUAACUUGAAAAGGUUUGGAACUGUAGAUAAGUUAUCAACAGGCAACUGGGCCAAUAAUUCACCUAGAAAUUUUGGGGAGCCCUUCGAUGGUCGUGGCAUUUAGCCAGCUGUUCUUCAAUGCUAGCUAUAGGCUAAACAAUUGUUUGGUUUUCAUUUCUUCAGGC
rnacentral:lncRNA from 1 species